UACGUAGGGGACGAGCGUUGUCCGGAAUUACUGGGCGUAAAGGGCGCGCAGGCUGUUAUGCGAGUCUGCUGUGAAAUGUACCGGCUCAACCGGUGCCUUGCGGCGGAUACUGCAUAGCUGGAGUACUGGAGAGGGAAGUGGAAUUCCCGGUGUAGCGGUGAAAUGCGCAGAUAUCAGGAGGAACACCGGUGGCGAAGGCGGGACUCUGGGCUGUAACUGACGCUGAGGCGCGAAAGCGUGGGUAGCGAACAGGAUUAGA
rnacentral:rRNA from 1 species